UCUUCCUAAAAAAAAAAAAAAAAAAGAGAUACCACAGGAGCCUGGCCACAUGUCCAAGGCCAUGUUAAGCAGAGCUAGGGCUGAAUUUCUGAUGUUAUCUGAAUCCCACAUGUGGGGGAGCCAAGGGGACUGAAGGCAGGUGCAUCCAGAGAGUGGUGGCAGGGCACAGCAGGGAGGGUGGGGGCUCUAAAGGGCUGGGGUGGUGUUGGAGAAGCAAUCGGGUGCACCUAACCAAGAAUUAUUAACCCAUAAAUUCCAGAGUGGUGUGCUGCUGUGGAGACAAGAAUCCCCAUGUGACAAUUGUGAGGGUUUCCUAGGAUAUGGUUUUAAUCCUAGGAAUUAAAAAUUAAAUAACAACUAUGAACAGGAGGUCUAAUUAAAGUCUAAAACUAUUAUUAUUUGGCGAGGGCUGCCUUAACCAAAUACUACAAACUGGGCUUAAAUAACAGAAAUGCAUUUUCUCGCAAUUCUGGAGGCUGAAAGUUGAUCAAGAAGUCAGCAGGGUUGGUUUCUCCAGAGACCUCUCUCCUUGGCUUGCAGACGGCUGCCUUCUCACCACGUCCUCACAUGGUCUUUCCUCUGUGUGUCUUCCUCUUCUUACAAGGACACCAGUCCUAUGGCUAGGGCCCCACCCAGAGGACCUCAUUUAAUGUUCAUUAGCUCUUUAAAGACUCUGUCUCUAAAUACAGACACAGUGGGGCUUGGCACUUCAACAUGUGAGUUAGGGGGACACAGUCCAGCCCAUAACACCCCCGAUGCUCAUUUUGUUAUCUGUAAAAUGGGGAUAUUGCUAUCUUCCUAUGUGCGAAGUCACCAAAGCCUUCUUACUUUUGACCCUGGGAGGGGAGAGGGUCUCCCUGCUGGUCUUCAUUCACAGGGCAUUCCUGUGGGUUGGGCUGGGUGGGGGCCACUCCCAGGUGAAUGUUCGGGGGUUCGUGCCUGGUGUAUCCAGCGAUACUCUCUACCUAUGUGGUCUCUCUUUUGUUUUAAAGACUGGAUUCUCAUGACUUCCUUCUUUUUCAUCAGCUUUAUCUGCUUAGUUUUCAAACUGUUCCUGGAUGAGACACAGAGAAGGACGGGUGGCAGCUGAGCUCCUGACAAUGACACAACAGGUGAGAAGGGACUUGCUCUCAUUCCUGGAUUGAUCCCUCUUUUGCCAAGUGGUCGGGUUUCUCCUUUGGGCUUGGAUCUUCUAAACACUCUGAGAAAUUUUAGUAUCCAUUAUGUUCACCACCCUGUUAGGUGUGCAGCAGGUGAGGGAUGGGUGUGGAAAUAAUCUUCCCAGCAUUCACACUCACUUGCUCUAGUCUCCAUUGAGGCUGUGUCUUCACAGAAGAGAUGGGAAAGUUUUUCUUCUCAUCCAGUGGCUCAGUGGAGAAAUAAUUCCCUCACUUACCAUGUUAGUAGCUGCAGUGGCCUUACAUAUGUGUGAACACAGGCAAUAGAGAUGAGUGAGGGCAGAAGCUUCUAGACCAGUGGGGAGGUAGGUGUUUCAGCAGGUGAGUCCAGUGUCACAAGAGCUGGAGUGGAGGCUUUGCAGCCUGGAGGUGGGGGGAGAGGAUAGGACCAGAGACAGCAAUGAGGAACCACUUAUUUAUGUUUCUCAAUUUUGAACAUAUUAAAGUUUUUAUAGACUAUACUUGAACAUUUUGAUAGUAUCAAAAAAAGAUAAAAUUCUCUUAACAAAGACAACUCAAUUUCCCUCUCUUACUAACCUUGGUUCAAGUUUGAAAGCCAAAUGCAAUAUAUGCAUAAUAUUGUUUUCUUAAUUAUGAUUGUGUGCUCUGGAGAAGGAGUGGAGUAGAAAGAAUAAAAUGCAAUGGCAGAUUAGGAAGCUCCAAGCUCUCAAUUUGUGGUAACAUCAAACAAACAAACAAACAAACUUGAAUCAGCUGGGGGUGACAGCUUAGGGGACCAAGAAGUGGCAGCGAUGGUCUCCUGAAAUUUUUUUUACUACCACCACUGCUGGGCCCCAGCAGGAGGACCAACUGGCCCUUGGGGAGUGUGUGAGUGUAUGUGUUGUGUGUGUCUUUCCCCUGCCUGCUGGGUGACCCUGGACCUAAUGAGAGCUCAUGCCUCCCAUGAGAGCAGUGGAUAUCAGUAGGCCAGUGGGGCCUGAAGCAUCAGUCAUCUUGUUUCUCCAGAGUGGAGGGCACUCAAAGUUUGUAAGAUGGGGUCCAGGUGCAAAGGGAUGCUGCCCCCUUGGCUCAUCCCUGCCAUGUGACAGGAAUAUCCUUCCCUUGGGAAAGCAGCCUGAGUCUCCUGCAGAGCAGGACUGCACUGGCCCAGAGAUCAGGACUGCCAGCCCCAGGUCUUGGAGGGUUGGGACAGCCCACUGAAUCUCCAGGGGCUCUGGUAUAUGGAAGAGGCCAAUGACCUAGAGGCUUGGGGUCCCACCCACCCUGGUUGGCCCCAGGUCAGGGUGGAGCAGAGAGACUGAGGGGCUGGGAUACCAGCACCUGCCUGGCUCUGUGGCGGACAGGGGCAAAGAAGUGGGGAUGGGCUCCUCCUUGUUUCUGAGGACACUCUGGUUUCUGCUCCUGAUGCCAGAAUCUUCUCCUUCUCUUUCUACCUCUCUGGAUGCUCCUCCACAGGAAUGUUUGCCAGCAGAGCCUCGUCUGCCUGGGUUUUAAUAAUUGAAGUGCUCCAUGCUCAACUCAGGGCCGUAAUCUUUUAUCUCUAUGCUUUCAUUGUUUUAAAUAACCUCUGGGUGAUCCAAUCCAUUCUGAAGGCAUUCAUUACCAACUUAGUGCUUAUGCACCCCAGAUUUAUCUCCACCCAGAAUCAGACAUACAACUGCCUGGUUGAUCUUCUGGCUUGGAUGUUGCCUGAACAUUACAUUCCAAGAAUGAUCUGACACUAAAAGUUUGUUCAACGUCAUCUGGGCCGUGCCCCAGGCUUCCCCGCUGAGUGGACUGUAUCCCUGUUCACCUAGUGACCUCACUCUUUCCAAACUCCAGAAGUGUGUCCUCAUCCUGUAUCUCCCCAAAUCACACACAAUCCAUUGCCCGGUCCUGCCCAGUCCUCCUCUGGUAUGUGUCUCCCAACACCUCUCUCCACUUCCACCCACUGUUCUACUAACCCCCAACCCUAUGUUUAGCCAUUUGCUCUUUGAAGGACAUUGUGUGGUUUCCAGCUUGGAGCAGUGAUGAACAGAGCUGCUGGCAUCAUUCAUGUCUAGGAUUUGGCAUGAACAUCAGUGUUGUGGGCCCAAGGGUGGGGUCCUCCAGAUCACAGUCAGGUUUGAUACUUCACCUCCUAGAAGGACUCGUGGGGCUGCUCAAAGUUGGCUGACUUCCUGGAGGUUUCUUUGGUUUUCAGGUUCCUUUUGGAAUCAGGGUUGGGAAUACAGCAACUCUUUUGUCUUUAGAUUCCUUCAGGGCUCAGGGCUAGGACUCCAGAGACUUUCUUGGGUUUUCAGAGGACAUUUCGGAAAUGGGAUCCCAGUCAUCUAAAUGUUCUGAGGGAAAUCCUCCUUCAGGGAUGCCAGCCGGGUUAUGUUUAAGAACUGUGGGCCUCUAUGUGUGCACUUUUAACUGAGUGGGAUGAACUGACCAAAAGCAGUUCGGAAUCUCAAUGGCCAUCAUGGAGAACUUUCAAGCUCCCCAAACUAGCUUUUCUUAAAAUCAUAUUGGAAGACCAUGGCUCUAAAAUGAAGCAAAACAAAUGGUAAGUGUAUUUUCACUGGAUACCCACAAAGCUCUAAAAUUGCCUCACUACUAGACAUCUUGUCUAAAUUCACCAAAACAACUAAAAAGCUGAGGGAAAACAAAAAUGUUUCUUAAGCCUCCUGCUCCCUUCCCCCUUUCUCUGUCUCAGGCACCAUCUUGUCUUCCCAGACUCCUUUGUCUCAGGCUCCACCCCAGAUGCCACCUUCCGCUCUUCCUCUCUGCAAAAACCUGCCCCUUUAAAAUCAGACCUCUGAGGAUUCAAAAGCUUAACUCCUUAUUGCUAUUUCUAAGUUAACUGGAACAAAUAAAAACUAGAAGGAAAAGUUUAAAUAUCAACUACCCUAGACUUUUGAUGAUAGACAAAAUGACUCCAAAAGUAGCUCUAAAAUGAUGCAAAUAAAAACCUUCAGUAAGAGACUUCAGCCGUCUCUGAACAGCUAAACUUCACCUUAGUCCAUCUGCCGGAAAUACAGCUUGGAUCCGAUUAUUCUUUUGAGACAUAUCUAAAGUUCUUUAAAUGAAAGCUAUGAGAUCUUUCUUUGUGUCUGUCUAUGUGUCUAUGUAUGCAUGUUAUAGAGAUGUGAUAUUUUUCUACCUCCAAAUGAUGUUACUAGAAUUGACUUGUAAAAAGCUCAAUUUAAUUGCCUUGAAAUUAACUACUUAUAAAUUAAGUAUUCCUAAAUCUCAGAAAUAUAAUAGAAACUAACUCAAAUGCUUUUCAAGUUUAUGUGACCUAGAAUUAAUCUUUAGUAAAUAAAAGCUGGCUGAAGGUUGUUGGUGUAAAUAAAAAGUAGGCAUAUCUUCAGAGUCAUUAGUUGGGUGUAAUGCAAACGUGCAACUUUUCUCUCUGCCUGGGUUCACGAGUCAUGUAGGCUCAUGCUGUCUCUGUCUGCUACAAAAUUUGUCAGCAAGAAAGUAACAAGAUGAUGGUUGGCUAUUUAAUGUCUACUCCAAGCAUGAUUGCUAAAGCAAGUAAUUAAAAUAAAUGUAAAUGAGAUCAAAGUUUAUACUAAGUUAAACUAAAUAAUGGCUAGUCAUCGAAUCCCUAAAUCAUUUUCCAAACUAAACAAAAUAGUAAAACAUUAAUUACUGAAGAUAAGUUUAUCUCAUUUUGGCUUCCUGUGGCAGAAAACUAAAGAUAUUUGAGUCUAUUAGUGAACAAGUUCUAUGCCAUGCUGAGAAAUUUUCCACAGAAAAAAGGGCAAUGUUUCUAGAAAUUUAUAAAAGGUAUUUUAGGUUUGCUAAGCCACAAAAUGCUAACAUAGUUCACAAUUUCUUAUUUCUUAAUUUUUACCAGGAAUUGGGGACUCUAAGGGUUAAGAAUUCUAAUAUAUGUAACUAAAGCUACAAGAAAUAAAAAGGGAAACACCCCUGUAUGCAAGGGAAGUAGCAUGUGUUUUCGGUAAAAGAAGGUAUAAGGAUUGGAAAUGCAUUUUAUUGAGCAAAAAGAAAGUAAUUUUGUCUUAAAAAGAAGCUGGUUAUUUUGGAAUGGGAAAGAGGGAAUCAUAGGACAAAAUCUAAAUGUAAAAAGAAAGCUGUAGAAGGUUUAUGGAAAAGAAUCUUGUGAAAAGAAUUUUAAUGUGUGGUCAGGCUGGGUAAGAUUAAAAUGAAUUUAUUAAAAUGAGCUUUAAUACUAAAAUAAGGUGAUGCAAAAUUAAAACUUGGCCUUCUUUUCUAUGGAAAGGACAAGGUUUUCUUGGGCUAUUGGUCUGCUCGUGAUAACAGAUUUGGAAAGCUUCUUUGCCUUUAAGUAAUAUGCCUACAAAACAGAGAUUUUUAUGUUUUAUCAAAAUGAUUUCUUGUGCUUUUUUAAAUUAGGUCUCUACUUUCUUAGGAAAACUCAAUCUUCUUAGAGUUGAAGUUGAGUUUUGCUUAUCACCACGUGACUUUUUUAUUUGCCUUUGAAACCUGUUCUGUUACUUUGGUCAAAUAGAUACUUAAAUAUUAUUUUAUACUGAUGUGUGAUCCUAUUUGGUCAAGUGUCCAAACCUUUUGCUAUUUUGACAAGCUUCCCAAAAUAUUCAAAUUCUAAAUGAAGUUUUUUUCAACCUGGAUAUAAUUUUGGGAUUUUCCGAGUGGCACCUCGGACAUCUCAAAAGAUUUAUUCCCUCUCCUUAUAAAAAGAGACAUAUUACACUAAUUAGGCUUAUUUGAUAUAUCAAAUUACAUGAGAAACAUGGCCAAAUAAGCAAUAAUAAAUCUUUUUAGGUUUAUUGGAUGGGUGAACGUUACUAAAGUGUUGUAGAAAUUGUAUAUAAUUCCUAAAAAUCUGAUAUGUCCUAUUAUAACGUUAUUAACUGCAGUUCUAGUUACUAUCUAAAAUGUACGUCAAAAAAUACCCAAAUUUUCUUGUCAAUUGUAUUUACCCAUUGCCUUUUUGUAAGUCUUUUGUCAGUCACAGUCAGUUAUUGUUUUACACUGAUGCUUCUACAAAUACGUUCCAUUUUCAAAGAGAUUCUUGAAAAAAGACUGACAAGUACCCUGGAACACAGAUUUUGACAACUUUAAGAUCAUAACUCUGAACUGGGUGGAAAUUUCUGGAACUCGAGUGGAAGACUGAUUGCUUUGACGUUUUGUUUUCCAGAUGUAAAGGACCCCUUUUUCUCCUCUACUUUAAGCAAUCUAUAACUUACAACAUUUUGGUAAAGUGUAUCUUUGCAACAAGGUUGAAACAUUUUUUUUCUCUACCUGAUCCCUCCAGAAUUUAGGGACUUUUAAGUAUUCUUUUUGUGAUGAUAUAUGUAUUUGCACAGGCUCAGUGAAGAUCUGUUCUCCUUGUAACAAAACACAAUUAGAAACAUUGGUUGCAUUGUGCAAGCCAAAGCUUUGACUAGAAUGUUAUAUUUAAGAAAAAUGUACAUAGACUCAGACCUGACUGAUGGCUUUAAGAAACUGCUUGAAAAAUCAGCAUAGUACCUUGCUUACAAGGUUCCAGAAAAGCAAUCUUUAAAAAGAGCUUAUAUGGUCAAUCACUAUCCUUGUUUCAUUUAUAUAAAUAAUCAGGCGGAGUUUAAUACAAACAAAUUAGUUUUACUUUGAUUACCUUUAAUAAAAGCCAAGCUAAUUGUGGAGGAAAAAAUUCUGUUUUCACCUGUAUAGAUAUUAAAUUCUAGCCCUGUUAACUGCCUUUAAGGUUUUGUUAUACCUGUAAGCUAAAUUGGAUCCUAAAUUCUUCCUGUUUCCUUAAAUGUCUGGAUACAAUACUCCAAAGUGAUGUUCCCAAUUUUACUGCCCUUGAGACUCUUAGAAGGGACUAUACCAGGCCAUCCUGACCACCAGAAGGCAGCCAAACUUCAGGGACUUGAGACUUGGGUGCACAUCUCACAGCCGAAGAAGGCUCCACCUGACAUCUGGUCCUGUACAAACCCUGGGGAUCUCUGAAUCAAAUUGGCUAGGAAGAGAAGCAGCUGACAUCUGAGGCGGACAGGUUUCCCAAGAUGACCGGACCACUCGUAUAUACCCCCAUCCCACUGCUGUUUCUUAUUUAUUUUCUCCUUCCCUUUCCUGGAAGGACAAUGCCCUUGUUCACGUUUCCCAAUCCCUUUCAAAAGAGGGAAACUUCUCUGAUUGUUGGGUUUACCAUCAAAAACCUCUGUCUGUUCAAGACAGUAAUGACCCCUUAGUUCACCCUAUAAGUAUUUUCACUGAGAUUCCAGAUGCUGCUGUUUGUCUAAAUUGCUCUGCUGGUCCAUUUUGCCAAGUCAGGAUGCUAUGCUCGCCUAAACUUGUCCUUGCUUUACUUUAAUCCAUCCUUGGGAGGAGAAAACAAGAUGUUUUGAAUAUUUGUAUGAAAAAUUUUGUGGGACCAUCAAUGUAAGUUGAAUCAUUUGCAUAUUUCUUAACAUGCCCAUGUAUUUAGGCAACCUUUCAGUAUCUAACAACAUACUAUCUGAGCCUUGGUUAUACAAUGCUAAUUCCUCUAUGUUGGUGAAUGAGUCUGUAGAUGAUAUCACUUGUGCUGGGACCUUAUUUAAACUCCCUGAUUUAUGUCAUCUGUGGAGGUUUCAGUAAAGGCCUUUAUGCUUGGACAACUCGUUGCUUUGACAGCAGCUGGAGAAUACAAGGACAGUGUGCCCUGGCCAUAUUCACUGUCCCGUUCUCUCUGCAUAAUGAAUCAGAGGGCUCUCAUUGGUCUCUCCCAUUGAAUCUCCAUAGUUCCUUUAAAUGAGAACUUCCAGGAGGUCUACAUGACUCUGGGUUUGCCUCCAUGGGCAGAGCUUUCUUCCGAUGGAUCAGAGUGAGUGCCAGAGAAAAAAUGACCAGAAAUCUCUCCUUGACACUAGCAGAACUGGCUGAUUCCACAGCCAAAGCAAUUUCAGCUCAGCAAAGGUUGCUUAACUCAUUGGCUGAGGUAGUUUUGGAUAAUCAUAUAGCCCUUGAUUAUCUACUUGCUAAGCAAGAAGAUGUCUGUGCUGUGGUGAACACCUCCUGUUCACUUGGAUAAAUGCCUCUGGGGAAGUAGAAACCCAAUUACAUAAGAUUAGAGAGAAAGCACAUUGGCUACCAUUAAUUUCACUUAGCCCAUUGUCCUUUGAUCUGUUCAGCUGACUGCCUUCCUGUUUGGGCUCCUGGUUUAGAACUAUCCUGAGAACUAGGCUUAUAGUGUUGCUCUUCAUCUUGCUCUGUAAACCUGUUGUGAAGUUCUGUCCCCUUUGCCUGUCAAACCUCUGUAAAAAUUACGUGCCCAAAAGGGGGUUUUAUCUCAGCACUUUGAGAUGAACUCCACUACCUAUGACCUUGGAGAAACAUAGACUUCAGAUGAGAAAUGCCUCAGAGUUCCCCCUCCUAACCUUCCUUGGUACUCAAAUGUGGCCUAAAUAGUUUCCAACCACUAGGUACUUUACCUCCAACAUGGGACACGACAACCAGCAAUGGUUCUUCCUGGCACAGAGGGACAUUCAGCUUGAAAUAGUCCACAUACCGGUGUGGCACAUCUUGGAGCAGCCUGCCCUGAACCCCAUCAAUAGGAACCAAUCAUAUAAAAGAUCCAAGAAGAAGCUGAAUGAGAAACAUGUCAGAUUUGUGGGAGAAAAAACUAUGAAACAACAAAAAAGUGUAUAAAAUAGUACAAAAUAAAAUGAGUAUUAUUCCUAGGUAACUAGGAAGAGAAUGUUAUUGUGAGUGUGAAUUGUUUCUAAAUUAAUGUUAGUUGAAUGCAAUUCCCAAAAAAAGCACUUUUCCUGACUCUUCACCAGCUAAUACUAAACUACAUAUGGAAGAGUGAAAGAGCAAGGAGAACAAAGAAUUCUUGGAGUGAACAAAAAUAAGAGGGUCCUGCAAUACAAGUUAUGAAAAAAUAUUCUAAGAUUAUUAUUGUAUUGGUACAAGAAUGUGUGUUAAGAUCUACAAGACAUACUAUUGAGUCAAAAAAAAUAAGCUUCAGAGUAAAUUCUGUACACAAAUGUUAAUCACGCAAUCAAAAGUCAAAAAAAAUUUAAGGAUAUGCAUGUGCUUAUAAAACUGAUCUGAAGGAUCAGUGUUUGUGCUUGGGAGUGCAUCUGGGAAAGAAACUAGUGGCACUUUCUGGCUCCUCUAAGCUUUGGAGUUACUCAGGGCUCUGACCUGGACCCCUUCUUUCUCUGUCUCCAUACUUGGUCUAGCUCACCUCACCCAGUCAGAUGGUUGGCUGUGUGCAUUAGCUAUGUGCUAAUGAUGUCCAAAUCCACAUCUCCAGCUUUGGAGCUGCAGACCCAUCCAACUAACCAUUUCAUUGUCUCCAAGGAGGUCAAAUAUGUGUUUCCAAUGUAAUAUGAGAAAAACAACUCAAGAUUCCUCCCAUGCCCAACUUACUUCUCUCCGGUAAUUUUCAUCUCAGCAGACGGUACCACAAUCCAUGAAAAUACAGAUAGUAUCCAUGGUUCUUCUAUCUCCCUCGUCCACCACAUCUACUCAAUAUAUCUCACCUACUAAAUCUGCAAAAUGACCACGUCCCUCUAAUGCCAACACUGCCAGGCUAGUCCCAGGGACUGUCAUAUCUCCCUAAAAAACUGCAAAGACAUCUUCUGACCUCUCUGCUUCCACUCUUCUACAUCUACUGUCCUCAAUGGGUGGCACAAUUGUUUAAAAACAUCAGUAUAACUAUUUCACCUACCCUUUUAAACUCAUGCAAAUGGACUUUUGUUUCUGGCAAUAAGAGGGACUAGAUUUCUUCUGAGAUGUUUCCCAUUGUAUUUUCCUAAGUGAUGAUACAGAAAAAAAAUUAAUUUACUACUCUGAUGAUACAAGCAAAGAAAAUCCAGAGAAGCCAGAAAUUAGGAGACAGUGUGAAUCCAGAAAUAUAUUUCAGAAUUGACUCUGGGUCUUGGGAGCAAUUCUGGUCUAUGCAAGCUGAGAGGCAGGCAUUUUGUGUGUGUGGUAAAAUAUACAUAACAUAAAAUUCACCAUAUUUAAGUAUACAGUUCAGUGGCAUUAUAUACAUUCACCUUGUUGUGCAAUCAUCACCACCAUCCAUCUCCAGAACUUUCACCACUCAAACUGAAACUCUGUAUCAAUUAAACACUGACUCUCCAUUCCCUCCUCCCCCAGCCUCUGGUAACUACUGUUCUACUUUCUGUCUCUGUGAAUUUGACUAUUCUAGGUACCUCAUAUUAAUGGAAUCAAGCAGUAUUUGUCCUUUUGUGUCUGGCUUCUUUCACUUAACAUAAUGUCUUCAAGGUUCAUCCAUGUUUUAGCAUGUAUCAGAAUUUCCUUUCUUUUUAAGACUGGAUAAUAUUCCAUUUUAUGUACUGUUGAUUUAAGAAAAUAAAAAAGGGGGUUAUUCAGGAAUAGCAGAGGAAUUACAAUUCAGGACAAGCAAACGAUUGCAAAAGACAUAGGCAAGUCCAGCACACAAAGGAGAGGAAUGCUAUUUUAUAGAGAAAGAGGAGUGAUUUGGGAGGGUUUGAUUUGAACAAAAGUCCAUUGGUGGAAAGCGAGAGUUCACAGUGAUGAUUUCUCAUUGGCUGAGUUGCUGGGGUAGUCAAUUUCUUGUUGGGAAUGCAAUGGACAUCUUUUCCUGUUGGGGUCUGUAAUUGAUGAUUCUUCUUGUAAUUGAUAUCAAGUGGUAGCACAUGAGGGCUGCCCCUUCUGGCCUCCCAAUAUCAUUUCAAAUGAGGUUUCCUUUAUUCUGUUUCACAGUAUAUACAGUAUUUUAUUUAUCCAUUCAUCCAUCAAUGGACACGGGUUGUUUCAAUCUUUUGGCUAUUGUGAAUAAUGGGGCUGUGAACAUUGGUGUACAAAACUCUAUUCGAGUCCCUGCUUUCAAUUCUUUAUAUGUAGAUAGAUAGAUAGAUAGAUGGAUCUCCAGAAGUGGGGUUGCCGGAUCAUAUGAGAGUUCUAUGUUUAACUUUUUGAGGAACCCCUACAUUGUUUUCCACAGCAGCUGCACCUUUUCACAUACCCACCAGCAGUGCACAAGGGUUCCAAUUUCUCCACAACCUUGCCAACACUUGUUUUCUGUUUUUUGCACAGUAGUCAUCCUAGGGAAGUAGUAACUCAUUGUGAUUUUGAUUUAUAUCCCCUUAAAGAGUAGUAACUGUUGAACAUCUUUUCAUGUGCUUAUUGGCCAUUUGUAUAUCUUCUUUGGAGAAAAGCCUAUUUAAGUUUUCUGCCGAUUUUUAACCUUUUGUUGUUGUUGUUGGGUUUUAGUAGUUCUCUAUAUAUUCUGGAUAUUAAUUCCUUAUCAUAUAUGUGAUUUACAAAUAUUUUCUCCUAUUCUGUGGGUGAGAGGCAGGCAUUUUACAGGCUGUGUCCACAAGGCAGGAAAUAGACCAAUGUGGAGAAAGGAUCAGACCUUUCUUGCAUGAAGUCAGGAACCCAGUGGAUGAGCCAGAAAAAUCUCGAUCCAGAGAAGGAGGAUUAGGAAUUCUUCCUUUACCAUUUUUAUUCACCAAAAGGAAUAAAAUAAAACCCAACUGUCUCCCACUUCCCAUAUAACAAACUCACUCUUAGUUUUAGGUUAGAAUUAACACUACCUUUGUGGACUAAAAAUGUUAGUUUACGUGUACCAAAUUUGAAGAUGUCUAACAGAAAACAUAAAAUUUAUUCUACAGGAAUGUACUUUAAAACAAGUUUUUUCUAUUGAAAAAACUUUUAAGGAAACAAUCCAAAGCCGGUCAAUAUGUUAAUAAAAGAUGAGAACAAAAAAAGGAAAAACAAAGCAGAUCCUCAAGACGGAAAAUUGAAAAUGACAAAAUCUAUAUAUUUACUGUCUCAUUUUCAAAAGACUGUAUUGACGUCAAGAUGAAAGAUUACCAAAAAGGUACAAUUGAAAAGAACCAAAUAAAACUUGUAGAAUUGACACAUCGCUGAAAUUAUAAACUCAGCUAGUGGGCUAAGCACAUACAAAAGAAUUAAUGAACUGGAAGCCAGAUUUGAAGAUAUUAUCAACUGUGCCGCAGGGAUAAAAAGAUGGAAAAUGUUAGUGUAAAACUCUCCGUGGAAUUUCAAAGCACUUAUAAACUUGUGCUCACUUCCAAGGCCUAUUGGGGUGGGAAUCUUUCUUUUCUUCCUCAUUGACCUCAUUUGGUAGCAUCUUCCCCAUACCUUAUAAGCUUCAUUCACUCUUGUGGAACAUGUUGCAACAGUUAACUUUAUGUGUCAACUUGAUUGGGCCACAGGGUGCCCCAUUUGGGUGAACAUUAUUCUGGGUGUGACUAUGAGGAUAUUUUGGGAUGAGAUUAACAUCUGAACUGGUAUUGAGAAGAGUAGAUUGCCCUCCCUAAUGUGAGUGGGCCUCAUCCAAUCAAUUGAAGAUCAGAACAGAACAACAAGGCUGAGCAAGCGGGAAGUCCUUCUCUCUGUCUGGCUGUCUUCUCCUGUCUUGGUCACACAUAUGUGAGCCAAUUUCUUAUAGUCUCUUUCUCUGACAUCCUCUUCCUAUGUAUAUUUCCUACUGGUUCUGUUUCUCAAGAGAACUCUGAUUAAUACACACGCAAUGUCCCUAUCCUGACUUAGUGCCAUUGAUUCAGUUCUUUCUCUACCUUGGGACAUUUUUCCUGAUCUUGGCCUGACUGAUUAUUCUUGCUAUGAAGAUUUCAGUUAGGGCACCUCAGAGAGGUCUAAAGUUACCAUGUCACCAAUUGCUGUCCCUUCACAGCUCAGCACAGCGGCUAUCUGAUCCAUCCUUAUUUGUGUAUUGAUCCCUUGCUUUGUCAUGGUCUCCCUCCCUCAACUAGAAUGUAAGCUCACAUAGCAGGCCCUGGAGCUCUUAUUCAUUUCUCUCCAUCAUGGAACUGAACUGUUCCACAUUGGAGUGAAUGACAUUUGUCCUUUUGGUUGUGUGUGCCCAAAAUAAAGGCGGGUCCUUGACAACCCUGCUCUCUCACCCACACCUCUGCUCCCUCUCCAUCACAUCCCCUGUGAUCUCCUCUGGAGAGCUGUGUUGUCUGGUCAUGUCUUCAGGGAAGAUUUUACCUGACCUCCAGAAUAAUUCUAAUCCCUUUAGUUCAUGCUUUCAGGACAGCAGUUUCUGUUCUGUAUAAAAGGAGAUGGGAGAAGCAAGUUUUAAAAUGAGAGAAUUCAAUACUAUAUUAGAGCUACAAGUCACAAAGGGGUAUUAGGCAUUACAUAGCAAGGAUGAAAAGAGCAAAUUAACAAUCAAAUGGUGAGUGGGAGGGGGCAGAAAAUAUAUCAUGCCAUUCCUUUCUAUCUUGUAAGCUUUCUGCUGAAAAGUCAGCCGAUAACCUUACGGAGUUUCCUUUGUACGUCAUUUGUUGCCUUUCUCUUGUGGCUUUUAGGAUUCUCUCUGUCUCUUUAACUUUGGACAUUUUAAUUAUGUGUCUUCGUGUGGGCCUGUUUGGGUUUAUCUUGUUUGGUGAUCUCUGUGCUUCCCAUACAUGGAUGUCUGUUUCCUUCCUUAGGUUAGGAAAGUAUUCAGCUAUCGUUUCUUCAAAUAGAUUCUCUGUCCCUUUGUCUCUCUCUUCUCCUUCUGGGACACCUAUAAUAUGGAUGUUAGUGCACUUGAUGUUGUCCCAGAGGUCCCUUAGACCGUUCUUGUUCUUUUUAAUUCUUUUUUCUGUCAUCUGUUCAGCUUGGGUGAUUUCCUCUAUUCUUUUUUCUGUCAUCUGUUCAGCUUGGGUGAUUUCCUCUAUUCUUUGGUCCAGCUCGCUGAUCUGUUCUUCUGUAUCACCUACUCUACUAUUGAGUUCCUCUACUGAUUUUUUUGCUUCCAGUAUUGUAUUCUUCAUUUCUGAUUCAUUCUUUUUAUAUAUUUUCCAAUUCUUUGUUGAUAUUCUCACUGUAUUCAUCCAUUCUUCUCCCAAGAUCAGUGAGCAUCCUUAUGACUUUUUGCUUACAGUCUUUGUCAGGUAGAUUGUUUAUUUCUGUUUCAUUUAGUACUUUUUCUAGGGUUUUGCCUUGUUCCCUUGAUCAGAAUGUACUCCUUUGCUUCCUCAUUUUGCCUCUUUCUUAGCAUAUAUAGCUAAGUAUCAGGUGGGUCAGCUAUGUCUCAAGAUCUUGGAGAAGUGGCUUUAUGUAGGAGACACAUUUUCAGGCCCAGCAGUGUGCUUCCCUCUUGUCACCAGUUCCAAAUGUUCCAGGUGUGAACCUUGUGGGCUACAUGUGUAUUUCUGUUGUGGUGGUAGAGUUGCUUUUGCUGCAGGUGCCCAGGGAGCCUAGCCUGUCCCCCGGCCAGCUGGUUGUAAUGCUUAGCUGCAUGUGGCUGGUAUGGACCCUUCAAUCUGUUUACCAGGGUUGAGGAGCCCCCAGCACAGUUGGAUGCAAGAUGUAAUAGCGCACUCCUGUUGAAGUUUUCUGUUAAGUGGGUAGAUGCCCAGUGUGGCCGGUUGUGAGGCUCAGGUGCUUAAAACUGCUGCAGUCCUCUUGCUUGCACCGCUGAUGUCAGCUCUGUCAGGAUUGCAGCUGAGUGGGCCUGGCCCCAGGCACAGGACUACCCAAUUGUUUCAGGCCUUGGAAGGCGGUGCCAAUCCACUAUGUGGCUGUUUGAGAAGCACAGGUCUUCUACCUUGAUAAGCCCCACAGCCCACAUGUCCACACCCACUUUCAAGACAGUGCUGGCACAUAUACACAUCCAGAUCACCUGGAGCAGAUCCAGUUUCCCCACUGCAGAGGCCCACACACACUCAACCAAUGCCGCACACACUCCACCCACUCCUCAUGCCCACCCUGCCCUGCAGAGGUGGACCCACUCACGUGACUGCAGAAGACCCAGGCACACAGUCUAUGCAGGCCAAAAUGUUGCUUUAGGGCUUGCGGUUGGGUGGGGCCAGUCUCUAGGGUGGGCUGUCUGCCCUGGCUGAGCUGGAUUUAUUCUACACUCUAGUGGGUGGGGCAGACUCUGGGCUAACAGGCCAGGGGAAGAACUCCACUGGCAUCUGGAGCAUCUGUGUCAGCACACCUGUACUAGGUCAUAAUAAUGGCUACUGUCAAUGUCCCCGUCACUGGAGAGGUCUUACGUCUCACAGAGAUGCACCCAGAGCCUAUCAGGUGAGUCUCUUUUCACCAAAGGACUUUAUACCUUUCUUUCUGAAUUUAGGUUGCUUCCCAAAACAGGGAAGUUUGUGUGUGGGCCCUUUAAAAGCAGACUUUUUUGCCUCUUCUGUCCAGUAACUUUUCUAGUGGUAUUCCCCGUUGUAGUUAAUAGCCAACAACAUCAGAUAUUAUGACACUAUUUUCAGUUAUGCUAAAUGUAAAGGAUGCUUUAGGGGUAACAAUCCCCGUCAGGUCCCCCACUCCUCCAGGGAAGGCUGUACACCUUAGGACUGCUCCUAGCUAGCUGUGAAGCUCUGCAGCUCAGGAAGUUGGCUCUUUUUCUCUCAGACAGGAAAUUCUGGCUCUUCUGGCUCAGUCAGGAAAGUCUCAUGAAGCAGGGGUUCUUUUUAUCCACUUUUCAGUUCAAGUUGUAUCUUGGUUGUGUUUGUUGGAGGAGGAGAGUUCAAAGUCCCCCUACACCUCCAACAUGACCUCUCAAGCUGUGGCUCUUCCAGAUCAUCUUUGUAAGUGACUUUUAAUAGACAGCCAUUCAGUCUACACACAGGCUCUGAUCGCAUGUGAUGAAGGAAAACUAUUGCUGAGCUCAGCUUGCAAGGAGCUGGAAGUGACAUUUUCCCGGGAGAGCACUUAAGCAUUUCACUACAGCUGGGAGAAAAUAACUAUAACACGUUCAAGCAAAGUACAUUGUGCAGCAAAGCUCUGGCUUCUGGCUGUUUCAGAUCAUCUAGGUAAGUGCCUCACGUAUUGCAGUUCGUGGCCUUC
rnacentral:lncRNA from 1 species